AGUCUUAGUGCAAUUUUAAGCUAUUAAAUUAUUAAAGCUUAAAAUGGCACCAAGAUUUUU
rnacentral:pre_miRNA from 1 species